rnacentral:lncRNA from 1 species
AUAGAGAGACAGAAUAUCACUGGUGAAAGAGAAAUCACAAUGGGAUCUGAUGGAGAAGGCCACACACAUCUGUAGGUCUUGGAUUUUUUGCUGCAUAGAGUAAUCAGAUGAGAGCUUGGGUGGUCUCCCUUGAUAAGGAGGGUCAUGGGUGGCAAAAUAAAAACAGAGAAGAUGUGGACCAUGUCAUCAUUUAAUGAAGGAAAGAACUGAAAAUUGUAUUUGAGAACAAAGACACUAAACUUACCACCAUGCCAAAAGUAGAAGAGAUAUGAGAAACUAAAUGAUCCCCACUUAGUAGGAAGCAUAAUAUUGCAUCAGAAAUAAAAUGGGAAUAAUUAUAGCACCUGCUUUAUUUGCAUUUUGUGACCAAUAAAUGAAAGAGUGUAUCUGCAAAGUUUUUACUUCAAGAACUCAAGGUACCAUGUAGUAAGAGCUGAACACACAGGAGCUGCCUUUGUUAUCAAGAUUUCUCACUAAUACAGCAUAUUCAAGAUAGAAUUC